UACAGAGGGUGCAAGCGUUGUUCGGAAUUACUGGGCGUAAAGCGCGUGUAGGCGGCGGCGUUAGUCGGAUGUGAAAUCCCUCAGCUCAACUGAGGAAGUGCAGUCGAUACUGCGUCGCUUGAAUGUCGGAGGGGAUGGCGGAAUUCCCGGUGUAGAGGUGAAAUUCGUAGAUAUCGGGAGGAACACCUGUGGCGAAGGCGGCCAUCUGGACGACGAUUGACGCUGAGACGCGAAAGCGUGGGUAGCAAACAGG
rnacentral:rRNA from 1 species